rfam:Colinus virginianus strain Texas jcf7180006227120, whole genome shotgun sequence.
UCUUGUGGCUUCCAUGCAGAAGUGCACGGAAACAGCUGUUUGGUAUCGAAAAGUUGGCUGUUACUGUUCUUCUGAUGGAGGCUGCUGGA